GUUUUGGAUGAGAUUAAUAUUUAAAUUGGUGGACUUCGAGUAAAGCUGAUUACCCUCCAUAAUGUAGGCAGGCCUCAUGCAAUCAACUGAAAUUCUUAGUAGAACAAAGACUGACCCCUACCCCCCAAGAGGGAACUGUGCCAGCAGACUGCCUCAGGACUCCAACUGCAACGCUUCCCUGGGUCUCCAGCCUGCUGGUCUACCCUGCAGAUUUUAGACUACCAGGCCUCCAUAAUUACGUAAGCCAAUUCUUUAAAAUCAGUCUCUCUCUCUCAAUAUUCAUAUACUAAAUCCUGUUGGUUGUUUCUCUGCAUCUAUUAAUAGGAGAAUCCUAACAGUGUUCUUCAACAACAACAUGAGAUGAAGAUUAUUCCACCCUAAAGGAUUGUUGUAAAAGUCAAAUGAAGCAAAAUAAAUUGAAAGUCUCUACCUCAAUAAGUUCUUCUGAAACUCGGAAGGAAAAGGAUGCCUCAAAAUUUCAAAGUCUUUUUCAUCCCACCACAGAUGCGGUCAGUAUCAAUCUGCUGGCUCUUAGACUCUGUUCAUGGAGGUGUCAAACUUUGUUAUCAGGUGUGCUGUUAAUGCCUAGCAGGCAACACGUCCUGAACUGGACCCCAUUCAGCACAGACACAUCACACUUCAGGUAUUUUGAUCAUGAGCCUGAUCCUGGGGCCUAUCCUGCUUCUGUCACUUCUAGUAAGGAGUACAAUCUCCAUUGUUCAGGACAGGACUCCUGGACUUGUGUUAUCUAUCUCACUUCCAAGGAUACAGCUAAAGAGAGUAAAAGCCCAUGGCUGCCACAAUUUCUUCCUGAAAUGAGGAGAGCUUCAGGGAGAUGACUCAAGGACCUCACUAAGUGCUCCCUAAAGUUCGAAAUUAUGGACAGUGUUGGACUUCAGCCUGGAAAUCUAGAAGACAAGAGACACAGAUGGUGAAUUGAUUUGGUGGUGGAUUAAAAAAGAGUAGUUGCUUUGUUGGGAAGGCUGGUACUCCUUGAGCUUGCCAGGACAAGGAUUAAUGCAUGUUUCCUGAAGACCAUAUGGGGGCCACAUGAAGAGAAAGUGAGCCAGAAACUAUUUUCAAGAUCUUUUCCAAGAGGACUACCUGAAAAAAUUAUGGGACCAUGAUGUUGAGACUUAGUGUGAAGUGGACCAUUGAAAAACCCAGCCAAGUAAGAAAGAAGCAGCUGAAGGAAGAGAAUACACAGCCAAUGUCAUAGGAGUUUCCAUUAGAAGGGCCCAACAGAAUAGGCUCUCAAGAACCCACCAAAGACAGGAGAAAGAGUCUAAUGAAGCCAUUUUACAAGUGUACCAGUCAAGUAACUACUUUCCUAUGGAAGGAAGAACUUUUAGCUGCGGCUCAGGUAAGGAGAUCAACAAAGCUUAUCCCCUACCCCCAAAGCAACUAUAAAUCUAGAUAUAAUUAACAAAAACAACCAUUUCAGCACUCUGGAAAUCAAUCAAAGGCGUAUAACAAUCUGAGAAGUAUUUAUACUUUAAAAACUGCUAAACUUUGGGUAAGAAUAGUGGAACUCUUUGGUGUUCUAGCUUGUGACUGAGUCAAAUCAUUGGCUGACCACUAUAGUAGGCAGACACAAGGAUGACCCUUAGAAAGUCAAUCUUAUAAAUAAAAGCUUGAGUAAAUAAAAAGCUUGAAUAUUAAAAACAAAACUGAGCCGAGACAUCAUUGUUCACAUGCUGCAGGUUUCACUGAUUCAGCCAAGGCACGUUAUAAC
ensembl:lncRNA